CCAGGAGACCUGCCCGAGCUAGGACUUGUCUGGGUUCCCGAUGCUGCCAUGGGCUCCAGGCUCCUCUGCUGGGUGGCUCUUUGCCUCCUGGGAGCAGGCCAGGUGGAUUCUGAAGUCACUCAGACCCCAAAAUACCUGAUCAAACCAAGAAAACAGCAAGUGACACUGAGAUGUUCCCCUGUCUCUGGACACCUCUCCGUGUACUGGUACCAACAGGCCCUGGGCCAGGGCCCCCAGCUCCUCAUUCAGUAUUACAGUGGGGAAGAGAGAGACAGAGGAAACAUCUCACGUCGAUUCUCAGGUCAACAGUUCGAUAACUCUAGCUCUGAGCUGAAUGUGAGCUCCUUGGAGCUGACGGACUCGGCCCUGUAUCUCUGCGCCAGCAGCCGUGACACAGCCCUGCGUGAACAAUGGCCUCUUGUACAAAAACAUCCCGCCCCAGCUCAGGAAGUGGCCGCGAAGGCGCUGGCUGCCCGCCAGCCGGGCUCAGGCCCUGGUAAAGCAGACAGCCUUUACUAAACAUUCUUUAGGAUAUGCUUUAAUGCUCACAGAAAUCGCGCAAGGUAAGUAUUGUUUCACCUAUUUAUUUGGGAGAAGUAAGUCGCCCAGAUGCCCUAUUUCGUAACUGU